rnacentral:rRNA from 1 species
AGCAGCCGCGGUAAUUCCAGCUCCAAUAGCGUAUAUUAAAGUUGCUGCAGUUAAAAAGCUCGUAGUUGAAUUUCGGGACUAAUAUGUCGGUCGUGCCUCGGUACGUACUGGUAUUUUUGGUUUCUCCCUUCUGACGAACCUUGAUGUCAUUAAUUUGGUGUCUUGGGAAAUCAGGACUGUUACUUUGAAAAAAUUAGAGUGUUUAAAGCAGGCUCACGCUUGAAUACAUUAGCAUGGAAUAAUGAAAUAGGACGUUUGAUUCUAUUUUGUUGGUUUCUAGGAUUGACGUAAUGAUUAAUAGGGAUAGUUGGGGGCAUUAGUAUUCAAUUGUCAGAGGUGAAAUUCUUGGAUUUAUUGAAGACUAACUACUGCGAAAGCAUUUGCCAAGGAUGUUUUCAUUAAUCAAGAACGAAAGUUAGGGGAUCGAAGACGAUCAGAUACCGUCGUAGU